rnacentral:rRNA from 1 species
UUGCUAGCUUGCUAAUAAUUCUCUAGUGGCGCACGGGUGAGUAAUACGUGAGUAACCUGCCCCCAAGAGUGGGAUAGCCCCGGGAAACUGGGAUUAAUACCGCAUAAAAUCGCAAGAUUAAAGCAGCAAUGCGCUUGGGGAUGGGCUCGCGUCCUAUUAGUUAGUUGGUGAGGUAACGGCUCACCAAGGCGAUGACGGGUAGCCGGUCUGAGAGGAUGUCCGGCCACACUGGAACUGAGACACGGUCCAGACACCUACGGGUGGCAGCAGUCGAGAAUCAUUCACAAUGGGGGAAACCCUGAUGGUGCGACGCCGCGUGGGGGAAUGAAGGUCUUCGGAUUGUAAACCCCUGUCAUGUGGGAGCAAAUUAAAAAGAUAGUACCACAAGAGGAAGAGACGGCUAACUCUGUGCCAGCAGCCGCGGUAAUACAGAGGUCUCAAGCGUUGUUCGGAAUCACUGGGCGUAAAGCGUGCGUAGGCGGUUUCGUAAGUCGUGUGUGAAAGGCGGGGGCUCAACCCCCGGACUGCACAUGAUACUGCGAGACUAGAGUAAUGGAGGGGGAACCGGAAUUCUCGGUGUAGCAGUGAAAUGCGUAGAUAUCGAGAGGAACACUCGUGGCGAAGGCGGGUUCCUGGACAUUAACUGACGCUG